GGGGAUCCCACCUACCAUGGAAGUCUUUCGCAGAGAGAUAUGGUAGAUGGGCUAGAAGAGCAUGACAUAUACUGUUGUGUCGAUAUUUUCUCCUCGGACCUUGAAAAUUUAUGGUGGGGACACGCAAACUUCUCAACAGGCCGUACCAAUAUCCGCAGCUGGUCUCCAAGGUGAAGAGUCUCUAGUCGAUAGAAUAAUGUAGGUAAGGGAAGUCGGCAAAUUAGAUCCGUAACUUCGGGAUAAGGAUUGGCUCUGAAGAUUGAGAUAGUCGGGCUUGAUUGGGAAACAAUAACAUGGUUUAUGUGCUCGUUCUGGGUAAAUAGAGUUUCUAGCAUUUAUGUUAGUUACUUGUUCCCCGGAUAGUUUAGUUACGUAGCCAAUUGUGGAACUUUCUUGCUAAAAUUUUUAAGAAUACUAUUUGGGUUAAACCAAUUAGUUCUUAUCAAUUAUAACGAUUAUCAAUUAACAAUCAAUUCAGAACUGGCACGGACUUGGGGAAUCCGACUGUCUAAUUAAAACAAAGCAUUGUGAUGGCCCUAGCGGGUGUUGACACAAUGUGAUUUCUGCCCAGUGCUCUGAAUGUCAAAGUGAAGAAAUUCAAGUAAGCGCGGGUCAACGGCGGGAGUAACUAUGACUCUCUUAAGGUAGCCAAAUGCCUCGUCAUCUAAUUAGUGACGCGCAUGAAUGGAUUAACGAGAUUCCUACUGUCCCUAUCUACUAUCUAGCGAAACCACAGCCAAGGGAACGGGCUUGGAAUAAUUAGCGGGGAAAGAAGACCCUUUUGAGCUUGACUCUAAUCUGGCAGUGUAAGGAGACAUAAGAGGUGUAGAAUAAGUGGGAGAUAUUAGACCUCGGUUUGGUAUCGUCAAUGAAAUACCACUACUCUUAUUGUUCCUUACUUACUUGAUUAAAUGGAACGUGUAUCAUUUCCUAGCCAUUAUACGGAUAUAUUUAUUAUAUCUUAUGGUAUGGGUUUUGAUGCAGCUCUUGAUCAAGUAUCACGAGUUGUAUAAUCGCAACAAUUCUUAUAAACGAUGCAUUUUGUAUUUGAUUGAAUUUGGAUACUCCAUACUCAGUGACCAUCAGGAAUGCGGAGGAGUGACUGGGCGGACUCUAAAAACGAGUUCCG
rnacentral:ncRNA from 1 species